UGAGCAUGUAGAGGAAGAAAAUUUGCCACUAUAAUUUUCUUCUUGCGGCAUCCAGACAAUGGAGCAUCUGAAUCUCCAUCAUUACUUCCAUCACCAUCUGUGUCAGAAAAAAUUCCUGGAACAGUCAUCACCCUUGGGAGAGAUCUGGGAGUUUGAGGGAGAUUCAACAUGUCUCCAGAUACUAAGUCCAACAAAUUUAUACAAGAUCUUGACAUCAUUGUUGCCAGCUUUUGUUUUAAUGUUUCUG
rnacentral:misc_RNA from 1 species